CGCAAGUUAAUGUAAAAGUAACAUAUUGGACUCAUGAUCCAAUAAUUUAGGUGCAAUUCCUAAACUUGCUU
rfam:Paracoccidioides brasiliensis strain Pb18 mitochondrion, complete genome.